rnacentral:rRNA from 1 species
GAUGAACGCUGGCGGCGUGCCUAAUACAUGCAAGUCGAGCGAACAGACGAGGAGCUUGCUCCUCUGACGUUAGCGGCGGACGGGUGAGUAACACGUGGAUAACCUACCUAUAAGACUGGGAUAACUUCGGGAAACCGGAGCUAAUACCGGAUAAUAUAUUGAACCGCAUGGUUCAAUAGUGAAAGACGGUUUUGCUGUCACUUAUAGAUGGAUCCGCGCCGCAUUAGCUAGUUGGUAAGGUAACGGCUUACCAAGGCAACGAUGCGUAGCCGACCUGAGAGGGUGAUCGGCCACACUGGAAUUGAGACACGGUCCAGACUCCUACGGGAGGCAGCAGUAGGGAAUCUUCCGCAAUGGGCGAAAGCUUGACGGAGCAACGCCGCGUGAGUGAUGAAGGUCUUCGGAUCGUAAAACUCUGUCAUUAGGGAAGAACAAAUGUGUAAGUAACUAUGCACGUCUUGACGGUACCUAAUCAGAAAGCCACGGCUAACUACGUG